CUGGGGCUGCUCCGCAGGGCCUAAGCAAUGGGCAGAAGGGGCAGAGGAAUGUUGUCACUUGGACUCAGAAGGAUGAAUGGAGGAGAGAAAUCUGCUUGUACUCCUGCAUAUUGAGAGCAAACUUUCCCCAUAGAAGAUGGGAUAAGAAGGAUGACCACUGUCUGCUAGUCCCAGGCAACUUAGCAAACUGCCGGCUUUUAUCAAGGGUUGAAUCCAACUGAGGAAGGUGAUGGACCAACUCCAGCUCAAGCUGAUUUCAGUGAAACACCAGCUGCUAGCCUCCCUACACUUGUUGCACACAGCUGAUGCAAGACCAGAUAGAAUCAGUGAAGGAUGGCCCUCUAAUUUUUUC